CGGAGCUUGCUCCACCGGAAAAAGAAGAGUGGCGAACGGGUGAGUAACACGUGGGUAACCUGCCCAUCAGAAGGGGAUAACACUUGGAAACAGGUGCUAAUACCGUAUAACAAUCGAAACCGCAUGGUUUUGAUUUGAAAGGCGCUUUCGGGUGUCGCUGAUGGAUGGACCCGCGGUGCAUUAGCUAGUUGGUGAGGUAACGGCUCACCAAGGCCACGAUGCAUAGCCGACCUGAGAGGGUGAUCGGCCACAUUGGGACUGAGACACGGCCCAAACUCCUACGGGAGGCAGCAGUAGGGAAUCUUCGGCAAUGGACGAAAGUCUGACCGAGCAACGCCGCGUGAGUGAAGAAGGUUUUCGGAUCGUAAAACUCUGUUGUUAGAGAAGAACAAGGAUGAGAGUAACUGUUCAUCCCUUGACGGUAUCUAACCAGAAAGCCACGGCUAACUACGUGCCCAGCA
rnacentral:rRNA from 1 species